AUGAACCGCGACGCGGUGGAUUUGAAGUCUGACGAAAUAGCGAUGACGACCCGGUUUCCAGUGGUGCUUUUGCGGUGGCAGUGGACCUAUGUAAGGGAUGCAUUGAGAUAUGUUGAGAUCCGAUGGUGGCUGUUGAUUCAGAGGUUGCUCUGUUUGCGUCGCAGAAGGAGUACGAUGGUUGGGAAAUGCGGUGCUUCGACGACGUCCGGGUGCGCGUUCGUAGUUGUUUGA